rnacentral:rRNA from 1 species
GUCCUUGCCCUAAACUAUGUAUACUUGGUGUUGUUGGGCUCAACCCUGACAGUACCGUAGCUAACGCGAUAAGUAUACCGCCUGGGGAGUACGCUCGCAAGGGUAAAACUCAAAAGAAUUGACGGGGACCCGCACAAGCAGUGGAGCAUGUGGUUUAAUUCGAUGCAACGCGAAGAACCUUACCUGGGCUUGACAUAUACAUGACCGUUACAGAGAUGUAACUUUCUCGCAAGAGACAUGUAAACAGGUGCUGCAUGGCUGUCGU